UCCCUGGCGGUCCAGUGGUUAAGACUCUGUGCUUCCACUGCAGAAGGCACGGGUUCAAUCCCUGGUCAGGGAA
rnacentral:tRNA from 1 species